CCUCUCGGGGGUAAGCGGNCAGAACUUGCAAGUAUUGNUGNGAGAUUCAGGCUUAAUGCUGAUGGCUGGGAGUGCUUAGUUAGGCUGGUCUUCGGGAUUUGGCUGGUGUGUGCUUCUUGAUCUGUUGGUAAUGCGCCGCAUUUCUCUCUAUCAUCCGGGUUGCAUGCAACUAAAAUGGCGCUCUAGGUGCUGGGGUACUGCAAAUCCUCGUGGUUUGAGUCCUGGUUUCCGAGUGCUGAUGUGGUUGUUGUCUUGGAGUGAACAGGCGUUUGACGCGGUCGUGGGCUUUGGCGAGCAGGGUGCUCAUGAUAUGUGGACGGGUAACCGUAGCAUGUUGUGUGUACUGGUUGGCAGCCAGAGGUUUUUCGGCNNNNNNNNNNAUNGNAAUCUAAAGCAUGCGUGGUCUGCCUGU
rnacentral:rRNA from 1 species